GGCCAGGUGGCGGAGUGGUUAACGCGGUAGACUCGAAUUUUCAACGUUCCAAUCUACUUCCUUCGGGAGCGUCUGUUCGAAUCAGGCCCUGGUCG
rnacentral:tRNA from 1 species